CCACCCUCUACAGCGUGUCUCUUCCGACCGCGUCGAACCGUAACACCGGCCGCGCGAAAGGAAAGCGAACGGGGGCAGCCGAGCAGGUAGUUUGACUGCUCCCGCAGCAGUCAAAGCUCGCGCGCGUGACGCUCCAGCGCAGCUCCGCGGCGUGUGCGGCGCAGGGCAGCCGGUGCCGGCAGCGAGCUGCUCGUCAGAGCGGUCGCGGCUGCCGUUCGAGAACGGGGGCAGCGAGCAGCGGCUCCUUCUCGAAGCGCGAGCGAGUGCCGUUCAAGCGCGCGCCGCUCCCUCCAUCGGUCGCCGGCGGCGCGCGAGGCGGUGUGGUGCCGGCGGCUCGCGCCGUCCGCCGCCCGACCUCAGUCGCCGUCGCGGACAGCGGCCGGCAUGCGGAGCGCAUCCGGCACUGGCGGCAGCUCCAACGCCAGCACUGGACUCGUCACUCAGAGCUACGACGUGUGGUUCGAUGUCGAAGCCGCGACCACUUCCGCCACCGCCGCCGCGGCGGUCGUCGACGGUCCGACGCCCGUGCACCUUCUUUGCACCAGCCUCGCGGCGACUGUCGGACUCGUGCUCAACGCGUACAUCCUCGUGGUUCUCUUCUGGCAGCGCCAGUUCCGCACGGCCAACAGCCUCCUCCUUCUGCACCUAGCCUUCGUGGACAGCGUGUUCUGCCUGCUCGUGCUCACCUCGAACGCCGUGUUCGGUGGACUCUCGGCAUCCGCAGAGGUGAUCGACGCCUCCGGUGCGUGCUACGUGCAGGGCGUUCUAUGGGCCGUCGUGCCCGCCGUGGCGGUGUGGACGCUGUGCGGCCUCAGCUGCGACCGGUACGCGGCCAUCGCGAGCCCACUCCACUACUCGCGCCUUGUGAACACGCGGCGGACGUGCGCGUUCCUCGGCGUGUCCUGGAUUGUCGCGGCGGGUGCGGCUGUGCCCCCGCUCGUAGGAGUGUGUCCUUACUCCUACGGUCCGUCGCGAUGUGUGUGCGUUGCCGCGUGCGCCGGCAGCGGCGCGGACUUGCAAGCCCCGGCUUCAUCGCCCGUGGGACUGGGAUACGCUCUAAGCUACGUGUGGCUGGCGCUCGUCUUUCCCGCGUCGCUCAUCGCCGCAAGCAACCUGCAGGUGCUUCUCAUCGCACGGACGCACAGGCAUCGCAUCGUGGCAGCCAUCUACGAGGUGACCCUUCGGGCCCAGGCGACGGUGACGCACCAGCGCAAUCCGUGGUACCUGGCCCGGUUUCGGGGCCGCAGCGCGUUGCUCUCAACGGCGCAGCUGGUCGCCUCGCUGGCACUCUUGACGGCGCCGCAUUUUGCGCUUCUGCUGUGGGAGGCCUCGACGGGACGCCGCACUCCACCACUGCUGGGCUCGGCCACUACGGCUCUGCUGUGCUGGAGCCCGUGUGCUCAUGCCUACGUGUACGGUGUGCGCAGCCGCGCACUGCGGCAGACUUUCAAGGACCUACUACGGAGGCAUGUCUACAGGCAGCAGGUGUGCCGCGAGGCUGCCCGGCGUGCAUCAGCUGCCAACGGGGGCACGCCCGGUCGGCCCAAGCUCAUCCGUCGCUUCUCGGCACCCGACGGCCUGGGCUCUUCCUCGGUGGUGAUGAGCAACGCGCGGCGGGCACUGCCGCGGAGGGCGUCCGAGAAGUGCAUGCUCCUGCGCACGGGCAGCAGCGGCCUGUCGGCAGCAGGCAGCGGUGGCGGCGCGGGCGCCGCCAUGCUGUGCACGACGAUGCCUUCGUCGGCACCGUCGUCCCGCCGCUCCCUACUGAUGCUCGAACCCGCGACCAAGCCCAGCAGCCGGGCGUCCGUGUUUCCUUUGAUACUGGAGCACGGCAUGAGCGAAGAGGACGAGCGCGGGCCGCCCGGGGGUUGCCUGCGGACCGACGACGAAGACGACGACAUGUCGCGCUCGAGGUCGCCACCGUCCAGGGCGACGCCCGACUCCACAGAUACGAGGUCAGUGUGGCCGAUGGCGAAUCCUGUGCGCCUCAUGCAGGGGGUGAGACGAGUCAGAACGAACUGGAACGCCCGUUUGCCUAUUUUCACAUUCAACACUUUGACUACUGUACGUGAGGUCAGCGUGGUUUGAGCCCGGCACACUGAGCUCCUACGCCGAAAUAUGUUUGUUAGAUUUUCAACUGUAAAUGCUUUGUACAUCCUGCUCUUGAAGUACAUCCAGGAACACGUAAUGCGGAAACAUGUGAAGCUCGACUAGCAUAUCCAAACUGCUAGUCACAAGCACACCUCUCUGACAGUGAACGUGGGGAAGGGGGGAGGGGGUUGUUGUCCACUAAAUGGGCGCAAAAAGGUGACGCGCGAAUAUUUUUUGUGCAUGAUCGCUACCGUCAAGGCUAAUUUAUUGCUUGUUUCUGUAUAGUGUGCCCUACGCUGUUGACACCAAAUAAGCCGUCAUCAUUCAAGUGUAUGCUCUGCGCAUUCAAGUUCAAAUUGUAUUUCAUGCCAUGAUUGCAUAUAACUAUAACCCCGUUUUUCACAGCGGUUGGAAGCGCAGCGCCCAAGUACCGACUCUCAUACGGGUAAACACCACGAUAGUGGCAUGCUUUCUAUACUUAGCUGUCUGUGUUCGCAGCACGCCCGCUGCCUCCCCAUUCCUCCUUUCCUUGCAUGUCCUACAAAUGGCGUUUGUAUCUUCCGAAUGGUGAAUUCCAAACUACUUAUCUAACAGUGGGUAGCGUGUAACAUCCGCCAGAAAUGACGUAGUACGUGAAGACAGCUGAUCAUUGAUUCUUGCUCAUUCGUCUGUACAGCUACAAGAAGAAAACGUGCCUAAACUACCAUUGCGUUUUUUUUUUUACAUCCGCAUUUUUAUUCUCACGGCGCGUGCUGCCAGCGCUCCGCUGUGUAGUUCACGUCUGCAUAAGUUUUUCAAGAAGUCUUGCCAUGCAGAACUUACUCAUGCGUUUUUAUAGCGUUGGAUUAGCUUGCAGCCAAAACUCUAAUGCGUAUAAAUGAAACGUCUCCGAGGGAUGUUUCAAAUAGCAUUGUUCCCUCUAGUAACUGUGAGAGCUUGACUUUCAGUUUAUUUUCGACAACCUCGUUACAUUGCAACAGCAACAGAGUAAAACAAUUCUAUGAUGUUUCGAAACAGAAAAUAAAUAAUAAAUUAAAGGAGGCGAAGUUAGCUGCGCACAGUUCCCUCCGGCCAGAACCUGAUGAUUUAACCUGCAAUGAGGAACAACUCGAACGUCGAAAUGUGCUACUGUAAACAGCUCAGAAAUGGGGGGACAGAGAAUGGGUUUAAAACAGACAGCCUUGAUAUCUAUCUCGUUUUCUCGCAGUUUGGGUCAGACAAUAAAUAAUGUGUCUUUGUACCAGCAAGCCUUGCUAGCCACCAAUUUGACGCAGAAAUGCGCUGUAACAUGGUAGCCAGCGCCCAUCAGCUCUCGUAACACGCCAUUAAAAGUCGUAAGGUGCCAUCAGGUUUGUUGUAGCAUACUGAGGUUUUAUUACGAUAACAUUUAUA
rnacentral:misc_RNA from 1 species